rnacentral:misc_RNA from 1 species
GAUGAAGAACGCAGCGAAAUGCGAUAAGUAAUGUGAAUUGCAGAAUUCAGUGAAUCAUCGAAUAUUUGAACGCACAUUGCGCCCCUUGGUAUUCCGAGGGGCAUGCCUGUUCGAGCGUCAUUAUAACCCCUCAAGCUCAGCUUGGUGUUGGGGCCUGCUGCACUGGCAGCCCUUAAAAUCAGUGGCGGCGCCAUCUGGCUCUAAGCGUAGUAAUUCUUCUCGCUAUGGAGUCCUGGUGGAUGCUUGCCAUCAACCCCCAAUUUUUCUAUGGUUGACCUCGGAUCAGGUAGGGAUACCCGCUGAACUUAAGCAUAUCAAUAAGCGGAGGA